GAACGCUAGCUACAGGCUUAACACAUGCAAGUCGAGGGGCAGCAUGGUCUUAGCUUGCUAAGGCCGAUGGCGACCGGCGCACGGGUGAGUAACACGUAUCCAACCUGCCGUCUACUCUUGGACAGCCUUCUGAAAGGAAGAUUAAUACAAGAUGGCAUCAUGAGUCCGCAUGUUCACAUGAUUAAAGGUAUUCCGGUAGACGAUGGGGAUGCGUUCCAUUAGAUAGUAGGCGGGGUAACGGCCCACCUAGUCUUCGAUGGAUAGGGGUUCUGAGAGGAAGGUCCCCCACAUUGGAACUGAGACACGGUCCAAACUCCUACGGGAGGCAGCAGUGAGGAAUAUUGGUCAAUGGGCGCAAGCCUGAACCAGCCAAGUAGCGUGAAGGAUGACUGCCCUAUGGGUUGUAAACUUCUUUUAUAAAGGAAUAAAGUCGGGUAUGGAUACCCGUUUGCAUGUACUUUAUGAAUAAGGAUCGGCUAACUCCGUGCCAGCAGCCGCGGUAAUACGGAGGAUCCGAGCGUUAUCCGGAUUUAUUGGGUUUAAAGGGAGCGUAGAUGGAUGUUUAAGUCAGUUGUGAAAGUUUGCGGCUCAACCGUAAAAUUGCAGUUGAUACUGGAUAUCUUGAGUGCAGUUGAGGCAGGCGGAAUUCGUGGUGUAGCGGUGAAAUGCUUAGAUAUCACGAAGAACUCCGAUUGCGAAGGCAGCCUGCUAAGCUGCAACUGACAUUGAGGCUCGAAAGUGCGGGUAUCAAACAGGAUUAGAUACCCUGGUAGUCCACACGGUAAACGAUGAAUACUCGCUGUUUGCGAUAUACGGCAAGCGGCCAAGCGAAAGCGUUAAGUAUUCCACCUGGGGAGUACGCCGGCAACGGUGAAACUCAAAGGAAUUGACGGGGGCCCGCACAAGCGGAGGAACAUGUGGUUUAAUUCGAUGAUACGCGAGGAACCUUACCCGGGCUUAAAUUGCAGAUGAAUUACGGUGAAAGCCGUAAGCCGCAAGGCAUCUGUGAAGGUGCUGCAUGGUUGUCGUCAGCUCGUGCCGUGAGGUGUCGGCUUAAGUGCCAUAACGAGCGCAACCCUUGUUGUCAGUUACUAACAGGUUCCGCUGAGGACUCUGACAAGACUGCCAUCGUAAGAUGUGAGGAAGGUGGGGAUGACGUCAAAUCAGCACGGCCCUUACGUCCGGGGCUACACACGUAUUACAAUGGGGGGUACAGAGGGCCGCUACCACGCGAGUGGAUGCCAAUCCCAAAAACCUCUCUCAGUUCGGACUGGAGUCUGCAACCCGACUCCACGAAGCUGGAUUCGCUAGUAAUCGCGCAUCAGCCACGGCGCGGUGAAUACGUUCCCGGGCCUUGUACACACCGCCCGUCAAGCCAUGGGAGCCGGGGGUACCUGAAGUGCGUAACCGCGAGGAGCGCCCUAGGGUAAAACUGGUGACUGGGGCU
rnacentral:rRNA from 1 species